rfam:Linderina pennispora strain ATCC 12442 DL89scaffold_6, whole genome shotgun sequence.
AUCCUUAUGCACGGGUUUUUCGCCUGUCAGUGAAGUUCCGACUGAGACGGUGAGUUGCUUUUACGCAAACUAUUCAAUACCCAUUCCUCGGCUGGCUGCCCCUCUGGGGCGGUAGGCUGAGGAAAUUUUUGUAUGCCCCCGAGGGC